rnacentral:rRNA from 1 species
CUGACACAGGGAGGUAGUGACAAUAAAUAACAAUGCCGGGCCUUUCUAGGUCUAGCAAUUGGAAUGAGAACAAUUUAAAUCCCUUAACGAGGAUCAAUUGGAGGGCAAGUCUGGUGCCAGCAGCCGCGGUAAUUCCAGCUCCAAUAGCGUAUAUUAAAGUUGUUGCAGUUAAAAAGCUCGUAGUUGGAUUUCUGGCGGGAGCGGGUGGUCCGGCACUUAGUGUUGGUACUUUCCUGUCUCUUGCCAUCCUUGGGUCUAAGCUGUCUGGCAUUUAGUUGUCGGGCAGUGGCUGCCCAUCGUUUACUGUGAAAAAUUAGAGUGUUCAAAGCAGGCUUAUGCCGUUGAAUAUAUUAGCAUGGAAUAAUAAGAUAGGACCUUGGUACUAUUUUGUUGGUUUGCGCACCGAGGUAAUGAUUAAGAGGGACAGUUGGGGGUAUUCGUAUUCAAUUGUCAGAGGUGAAAUUCUUGGAUUUCUGGAAGACGAACUACUGCGAAAGCAUUUACCAAGGAUG